rnacentral:lncRNA from 1 species
CCCAGCACCAGCGGGCCUGGGACCAGACAGCUUUGCUGGUCCCUCCCUGUAUGACCUUGAGAAGUUCCUCCCUGCCUCCCCUCUGGGUCUUAGUUUCCUUGUGGGGGGAUGGGACACGACCACACCCCACACCGGAAGCCCCUUUCGGCUCUCAGGGUCCGUGACCGGAAGUGGGAAGUACAAUAGGCCCAAGCACCGGAAGUGUUUCUGAACAAGCAACAGGAUGGAGAAACCCUGGAGAGAGGAGUCAGGAGUUCCACCUGCUCUGUCAGCCAGCGACUGGUCUCUGCUCCGUUGCUGAAGGUAAAGGUCCUGAGAAAAACCAGCAUCGACCGCAGCUGUCCUCAGGGAUACGUGUACACUCGAGAUAAGGCCGGCUGGGCAGCUGGUGGACACUUGCUGACAGAUGGGACACUGGAGCUGGCCGCGCGGGCCGGGGACGGAGGCCAGCGCCCGCCAG